CCUUCGAUAGCUCAGUUGGUAGAGCGGAGGACUGUAGUGGAGAAGAGAGGUAUCCUUAGGUCGCUGGUUCAAAUUUGGCUCGAAGGA
rnacentral:tRNA from 1 species